ACUUCCCUGUGCCUCUGCAGUGUGAUGCAAGGAAGAUUUUGAUUAUUUUUAUACGGACUUAGAGAAAUAUUGAUGGAUUAACAUGCCAGUUCUUAGGUUUCUCUUCCUUGCUCUUGACAUACACAGGCAGUGGCUUGCAAAAGGGUAGGAGAAGAGGAUUUUGCUUCUUCAGUUUAAUUGGAUAUUAGGAAAAAUUAAUUAUUUCAGCCCACUGUAAGGGCUGUCAAGCAUUGGAACAGGCUGCCCAGUUAAGUGGUAGAGUGACUAUCCCUGGAAGUGCUCAAAAAAUGUGUGGAUGUUGCACUUGGGGACAUGGGUUAGGGGUGGGCUUGCCAGUGCUGGGUUAAUGCUUGGACUUGAUGAUUUUAGAGGGCUUUUCCAACCUUCAUGAAUUCUACUCCAGACAUAAGACAGCUCACCACUCUUGAAAUCAGGACUGUAAAGCUGCUUAAUAAAAUUUUCUUGCUGAUCAUGCCUAGGUCAAAUUCCCUGGAACCCAGGGCAAAUUCUCCACAGGCAGUUUCCACAUCUGCCACACACAUUGGAGAAUGUAUGGACAGCACAAACCCAUUCAGCAGAAGACAAAUUGUGCUACUCCUGUGCCAUUUAUCAUUUCAGCUGAGUUCUGUAUUCCUUGGAGACUCCUUUUAAAAGAGGAGGAAUCAUAUUAAUUAAUUUCUCCUCUUGGGCUGAAUGAUAAAAGCCUAAGAACAAACAGAGUGUGGCAUUUUGUGUUCUGGAGGCACAGCCCCACUUACCAUGCCCAGAAAUAUCAUUUCCUCCUCUCUCAGCCUCUCUGUUUUCUUGCGCUGGCUGUGCCCACGCCAGACCUGGAUUGUAAACAAAACUCUGAUGAGAUAAAUGGGCCUUGGUACAGCUUCCUUUUCUGGGGCAGACACAGGAAAAAACAAAUAGAGGAAGGAAAGGCACAAUAUACCAUUGAAACUAUUGCUUUUUAACAGAUAUGGGAUGAACUCUUCCCCUGGAGAUCACAGAAAAAGGCACGAAUUCAGAGAUGCACUGAAUUCCAAGAGGAGGCCAGAAAGAGCAACUGAGGUCAUAAAAAUCAGAAUGGAAAAACAACGUCAGUGCCACGGACACUGCAGAGCUCCAGUUGGUUACACAGCAGCCAGGAUUUCCUGAGAGGACGAGGCGCAGAAGUGCUGACAGCCCUGCAGCAAUCCCAGUGGUGAGUGAGCUGGAAGUGCAGCACAGGACACUGGAUUUGCACGGGGUGAGGUGAUUUUAUUGCUGUUUAUUGAAUCCCCUGGCUCCCUGUAGGGCCUGGACCCUGUCAGAGCCUGGUGCUCUGGCUGAGCUGGCUGCUCACCAGACAACCUCAUCCCUAAUGGAUGCCACGCUGGAAAGGUGCAAGAGCAGAACUCUGGGAAGCAAAAAGGUUCCAGGAUAAACUGUGCUGAAACAGGAUCUCCCCAGAGCAAGAUCAGGAGAGCAGAGAACUCAAACAGGGGAGCUCUGCAGCUGCCCAGCAAGGCCUCCAGCAGGGAAGCCUGUGCUCUGUCUCUGCAGUCUGCCUGGGGCUGCUUCCAUCCCUGGGGACUUUCCCUCUGUUACUUUUUGGGAUCAACAGGCACAAUCACUGCUGGAGAGUUCAGGGCAGCAGUGUGACUAAGUGGGCCAUCAGCACUGUCUCUUAUGGCUACAACAUCCAUGAAUCCAAGUUGUCCAGGCAUGCAGGCACAGUUGUUUACUUCAGGGGUCAACAUGCCCCUCCCAAAAGGUCAAAAGUAUAUCAAACCCAGAGCAGCCUUCAUUGCAGCACUCGUGUACUUGUCUGCAAUGACUUUUGCUCUGCCAAAACUCAGUUUUCUGCUCCUCCCAGCAGCUGCAGCUCUGUAGCUGCACAGGGGAAAUGGCACUCAUUGUUCAGAGGUUAUAAACAAGUGAAUGCCAACAGUUGUGCUGACCUGAACUCUGAGUUCUGCCUGCUCCAGUGAGGAAUCCUGGCCCAGGACAGCUUGGUUUCAGUAGAGAUGCCUCAGGUUUUAGCUUUUAUAUUUUUCACAUUCUGUGCUGCUUUAGUGUGUGGGUCUGGGCUGCAUAUGAGGGGAUGGUGAACUCUCUGCACAGAGUAGGGAGACAAAACAAUUCCUUCUCUAGCUGGGGAACAAGGACAAAUGAUCCAAAUCUCAGGCCCAAGAGCACAAACAACAUGGACUGAAGAGAGAAAGACAAGAAGGAUGGGACUGCAUGGGCUAAAACUGUAAUUGGACAAUUAAACUCCAAUAUGUAAAUGGAGCAGAACUCAUAAAAGUGAGAGACCCUGUGACCAGUUGUCCAUUUUGUGACCAUUUUGGUCCAUCCUGGGUGCAGCCCUGGCUGGGCUCUUGUGCUGCCCAAGGUGGAUCCACUGAGGAAAUCCUUUUAACAAAUCCCUGCUUUAUUCUUUAACUCCAUCUAGCCUCUGUUCUAGGUCAGCCUUCACAAGGCAUCAGGAGGACUAAUUACAUGAUGAGGGUUAGUCAGACAAAUAAAGCACUGACUUGGCCAAAGUGCUGCUUUCUGACACUCACAUACAGUAGGAUCAUUCCAGUCUUACCCAGCCUUGAGAUGUGACUGGAUGCUGUUUGACAGGGAAAUCUAAGGUUUCUUUCUGCUCGUGCCUUAUCUGUAAACACACUUUUACUUCCUCACUGCUGUAAAAGCACUUCUCACUUCAGUGUCUCGUGUUCAGACACAUGUGGCUGUGAACUAAACAAACCAAACACAAUAUGUAGGUGUGGGGUACACUUACCUGUUCUAGCAAACCAGCAUUCAGCAAAAUCUCCUGCAGGUAUUUCUCCCUGUCCUGCAGGA